CGGCUUGUUGUUUAUUGAUGAUUUCUUGGUUACAUAGGGAUUUACAAUAGAUAAUAUUUAUACCUACUAAUCAUAUUACAACCCUACUUCACAUUAUGUCUCAAUUACCCAUAAUGUCCCUCUAAUAAACAACCCAGAAAAAACUCUUGUACCGUACCGCGGGGGCUUCACCCCCCGCAACCUUCGCUGCAACCCUGAUGGGCUAGUGCGUCGCUUCGCUCCGCUCCGCUCGGGACCUACGGCCCGAGCUACGCUCCGCUCCGCUAGACUCUGCACUAGUCUUUUUCAAUAACUUCUAUAUUAUGAGUCACAAGUUUCCAACAUAUUCGCUAUGUUGAAAAUAUAAAAUUUCACUCCUCUUUUAGUAUUCUUGCUUGAAUUUCCUGGAUUAGGAAUAACUUGAAUUUGUAACUUUACUAUACUAAUGCAUUAUAGAAUGGGAAAUAAUUUAUCUUGUGAUUCUGCGUAUCGUUUUUUUUGUCAGUUAACUCUUUUAGAGGUAAUUAACUUUUUUUGUCAGAUGCUUAAAUAUAUAAUAUUAUAAUCUUAUUUAAUCUUUAGUGUAUGUUGCAAUUGUAUUAGGCCUAAAACUUUUACAAUGCAUAAAUGAAGCAUGUGGUGUGCGCGUUGAAGAAUAAUUUAUUUGUCCUUCUAUAUGCAUAACGCGAAUUUCUAGUUAAAUAAAAAACAACAGGAGAAUAAGUAAAUAUCCAAACCAUAAUAUAUGUGUGUGUGUGUAUUGUGUGUUACUAUAUAUGUUGUUGUAGAAUAUUUCAUACCUUGUGACACGGGUUUUCUUUCAAAUUAGUAUGAAGAAAUCAGAUUAAUCUAUUGCUAAUGAAUUUGAUAUAGCUGCGUUAGAAUGGUUCUAGAGUUGAACAUUUAAUAUGAAUAUAAUGGUUCUUUCUCAACUUUAAAUUCAUCAAGCAGUUGACCAUACUUAUCUAUCCAUACUAUAGGUUGUUUCUCAGCAACACAAAACAGAUUUAGAAGUGAGAUCUUUUAAAACUUUUUCACUUAUUAAAGAUCAAUGUAUUAUCAAAUAAUUAAUUAAUUAAUAUUAAUUAAAUAUAGCAGAAUAUUAAUUUUAAAAUCUCCAUAAAGAUUUAAUGAAAUCUCAGUUGAAUUUAGUACUUGUAAAUUUUAGUCACAAUAGUUAAUAUAGCAGAGUAUAAAUACUGAAUGAAAAAGACAAAAUUUAAGUGAUUCGAAGACUAGACAACUCUUAAUUCACUCUUCUACUCUAUGAGUAGAAAAUCCACUAAGAAUAGAUCACACAGAUCUUUUACACUUGAACCACUAAGAUUCUUUCGAGUCGCUUAGUCUCGGAAUAGGGACACACAGUCCAGAUCACAAAGAUCUCUUCAAGUCUCCUAGACUUGAAAUAAUUGUCACUAAGACAAUGGAAUCGUAGAUGAUUGAAUGUUGCUUGAGUGCUGCUAAGUUUGCAAUAAGUUUGACUUCUUAUGUACUUAACAGCUUGAACUAGUACGUAGUUCUGUUUCGUAGAGUAAAGCUCUUUAUAGUUCGGCAGAGUUUCAGCUUGUUAGAUUGUGAUUCAUACUUAAAUUUGAAUCAUCACACUUUUUUAUAGUCUGCCUGAAAGUUUUCCGUUGCAAAGUUUUUGUUUGAGCAUUUAAUGCUCUAAUACUCAAGGAUCGUUGAUGUCAGUACUAAAAAAAUGGUCAUUUGUGAUAGUCAAAAUCUAUUACAAAAAGUAAAAAAACCAUCACGAAAGGUUUACGUAAUAGUUUUAAGCAUCACAAUGGUCGUCUUGUAUACGCCCGUCAUGAAAGAUUUUACAUGAUGAUUUUGGCACUCACACAAACGCUUUGUGCUUUUGUGAUAAUUAAUACAAUCACAUUAACGCAUAAUCUAUUGUGACAAGACUAGAGAUCAAAGGUAAGAACGUGAAUCUCUAUUUACGUAUAAUUUAUUCCACUGUAUUAAUUGUAUCAAAUGAUACUUAUAGGAUUCGAACCCUUCCACAUUUGUAAACUAAAUAACGAGUAUUACAACUACACCAAAACCCAAAUCAUGAUUAUAAUUUUAAAACAAAAUAUAAAAGGAAACAUAUGCGAGUUGACUUACUUUUAUAAAAUUACUUUCAUAUAAGACUUGGUGAUUACAAUGGUAGUCACAAAUACUCUAUAAUGAUGGCAAAAUUAGUCAUCACUGAGAGCCAUCAUAUAUUUUAUUGUUCUGUGAUGACUUUAAAAUUCCAUCACAAAAUACCUUCUUUUUUUAAUUGCAAAUAAAAGUCGUCAAUUUUUUUUAAUGAUUGUCAUGGCCGUCACAAAAUAUUGUUUUGAUUAUUUCUUACAUUAAAAUAUUAGUGAUAGCUUAAAUGCAAUCACGAAAAGGGUAUAUCUAUAAGUGAUGACUUAGUGAGUCAUAAAAAGAAAAUUUUUUUGCGUGAAAAAUAAAUUUGGUGUGAUUGACAUGGCCAUCACAAUUAUAAUACAUUGAUGACAAGAUUAGUCAUCACUAAGAGCCAUCAUAUAUACUAUUAUUUUGUGAUUGCUAAAAAAAUUCAUCAUAAAUUAUUAUCUUUUGUGAUUGUUAAAAAUUCUCACAAAGUUACGUCACAUAUUCUUGUUUUUUUAGUAGUCAUGUGUUGACUUCUAGGGUGGUUGUGUUAGCUUGCUUUCGGUUUCUUUUACCUGUCACAUUAUCCUGUAGUUUCACCACGUCAAGCUAGUUGUUAAUUGGACAAAAACAUAUUCUGAACUUCGAUUUCAACGAAUAAUAUGUGAUCCUUGCAUUGGGUUCGCCAAUGUAGCGCCCCAAAAUCCGGGUCCCUUGAAUCUCAAACCUAGUGUGUCACGAUACAUCAUCUUCAUACAUAUUCUAUAAACUAAUGCAGAAUUAUAAAUAUAAAUUAUUUAUUACACAAUAGUUUUGUAAUAUUUCCCAAGGUCUACAACCUUUAUCUUAAUACAUACCUUUAAUAAUUCACAAGGUUUACAUAAUCAAUUUACGUCAGUUAUCAUAAUAGAUAAAUGUCCAUAUAAAACUAAUCUCCAUCUUUUCCUUUUCCUUUGUCAUUCUUUGAGCAUUCGAGUUAAACUAAAAUAUAUUCAUGAUAUAGCAAGGGUGAACAACUACUUUGCUCAGCAAGUUUAAAUACAAUAAAGAUAUAUCAUGAUUGAAAGAAAUAAUAAGCUUUCAAGUUUUCAACAAUAUAAUGAUUGUGAAAGAGCGUGAAUCAAAUUUCAAUACGUGAAUGAUUAAAUUAAUAACGAUGAGUGGUCAACAAUGAUCAUGAACAAAAUACUUUGGUAAUGAAUGUGAUCAGCCUUUCAUACCUGAUAAACAUAUGCAAUGUGCACUAAAUUCGAAUCAAUAAUCAUAUAUGUGAAAUAAUUGUCAAUAAUUAAACCACUAGCAUUCUUGAAAAUUAUUAACUCGAGUUUGAGUUAGAAAACUUGUCAUUGCCAUUGAUUAUCGUUAAGCAAUCUAAUUUAAUCUCUUAUGAAAGACCUAUCAUUAAUAAGAUCGAUCCUCCAAUUAGCAUAAUACAUUUUAUCUCACAAUACUAUUACUCACAUAAUAAAUUAGCUAACAUUUAGCCAAAUAAUCAAACAUUGAAUAAUUCUUUAACUCAUUAGUAAUAUUAUCAUCCCUUAAUAAUAUUACUAUCAUUUAAUCAUCAUAUUAAACUCUUGGCUAAUAUUAUUAAUCAUUUAAUAAUAUUUUAAUCACUUAAUACUAUUAAUCACUUAAUAAUAUUUAAUAACUUCUUAAUAUUAUUAAAUCAUUUAAUAAAAUAUUAAUCAUUCAAAAAUAUUAUUAAUAAUUUAAUAAUAAUUUAAUUAUUUACCAAUAUUAUUAACCAUUUAAUAAUAUUUUAAUUCUUAUAUAAUAUUAUUAAUUAUUUAAUAAUAUUUUAAUCAUUCACUAAUAUUAUUAAUCAAUUAAUAAUAUUUUAAUAAUCUAAUAUUAUUAAUUUUUUAAUAUUUUAAUCGCUUAUAAAGGUAUCACACAUUUUAAGAUUUAAAUAUUUUACAUCUUGAAGCUUAAACCAUUUAAAAUCUAUUUCAGAAAUAUCUUUUACCUUUACUCGUAAAUUCGGAGUUUAAACAGCUAAUGCAUAGCUUUUAUAGUAAAACUCAAUUUACUAUAUUAUUUCUUUAAUUUAAAUAUUUUUUACAUCAAUUUGUCCGUUCAUGAGUCAACACUGACUGUUGCCUCAUAUAUAAAUAUUUUAUCUCUCUAGCACAUUCGUUUAUUUUUCAUUUUACGAUUAUUCGCAUUUUUGCUUUAUAUAUAUAUAUAUAUAUAUAUAUAUAUAUAUAUAUAUAUAUAUAUAUAUAUAUAUAUUUAUCGUUACGUAAAUCUCAGCUCAAAAAUCAUAUUUUGAACACCGAAAACCUCAAAAUAUCAUUUUUGUGAUUAAUAAAAAAUUUCAAAGGUUUUACAUUCUUAGUUGCACCACAAAAUAAAUUUAUAGGUAACUAUAUUUUUUAUUUUAAUUAAAUAUGUAAUUUAUAUUUAUUACAUAUUUUUAUUGCUUUAUUUAUGCCCGAAAGAAAGUUUCUCGACAUAAAAUAUCAUUUAUAGUCAAAUCUCACCCCGUAGGACUUUAUUAAAUUUAUUAUGACUUAUUAUUUUGGCGAAACGCGAUUCGAAACGUCAAACGUCAAAGUCGCUCAAUGCGCCGAAGCUCGGCGUUCGCUUAAAUUUUAGUUCUAACAUGCAUGUUCACUCAUUUUUACUUUUCAAAUCAUAAGCUAUAUAACAACAAAAUUUUGGGCAUGUUAUAGACCUUAUGGCGUAGUAUUUUAGAAAAAUUUCUAACCGCCAAAACGGAUCACGGAACCCAUCAAAAUAGCUCGUCAAAAAGCAUGUCAGGCAGCUACCCAACAGGACAGCGCGGCGCCGCACGCCCAGCGCGCGCACGCUGCUGCCCAGCAGCGUUGCUGCUCCGCUGCUCGCAUACCAAAUUCGCUAUUUUCGAAUUUCGUACACGUUGUUCGUUAAUCGGAUUGAUCCCAUUUUUGGAUAUGUUUUUCAUAUCAUAUGAAACUAUUUUUAAAAAAUAUGAAACCCAUUUGGGGUUCAUUAAGAAGUCCCAAUAAUUCACUAAAAAUGGACGUUCAUAACAAUUUUAAACUUUUUCUCAUCUUUACUUUUUAUCACUAAAACAGUCAUAACCUUUUCAUUUCAAAACAUUUGCGAGCGAUUCUUGAGCCCAUGCAAAGCUAACUUCCGAGACUACAAGUUUUAUGCUUUGACCUUUUUGAAAUUCUAAACACAGAAUUCCAAAAAAAUCGUGCAAGGGGACUUCCCCGAGUUUGUUAAACAGUUUUGACGCAACUACUUUGAACGGUCAUAACUCUUUGCUCAGAAGUCGAAAUUAGUCCGUUCGGGAGUCUAUGAAAAGCUUAUUCAGUGUACUAUAAUAUACCAAAAGCCCACAAUUUUCUGGAGCAUCUAACUAAUCCCGGAUUUUUCUUUUAUGGUCAGUAGUCUACUAUUUUUUCUAAGUUAAAAAACUGUUUUACUUUUCUUUCUUUGGAUCAAAUUUUUAUCACCUAAAAUUGUUAAAUCCAUAAAAAAUACACUAUAUAACAUGUAGAUCUAAAGUUUUUAAAGUUCAAAAUCAUAACUUGAUAGUUCAUCAAAUUCAAACACAAUAAAAGGAAUAAACUAAAUUAGGGUGUUAUACCUUUCUUAUUGCUCUCUUCCUUCUUCUUCUUCUUCUUCUUUGUCUUCUUUAGUGACUGAUCUCUUUCUUUCUUUUUUCUAUGUAGACGGGUGUGUGAGAGAAAAAUGAGAGCUAAUCUUGCAUAUCUAUCAAUAUCUUAGCAAAUCUCC
rnacentral:lncRNA from 1 species